AGCCUAUGGUCGAUGAUCAAUGGCCACACAACCCCCAUUUUGUCGAAAAUAGCCAUGAAUGACCAUUUACAAUAAUACCGAAGGCUAACACCUACGGAUUUUUGACCAAGAAAUGGUCUCCACCAGAAAUCCAAGAAUGUGAUCUAUGGCAAGGAAACAUAUGUGGGGUGAUGUGUAUGAGCCUCUGGUCGAUGAUCAAUGGCCACACAACCCCCAUUUUUGUCGAAAAUAGCCAUGAACGACCAUUUUCAAUAAUAUCGAAGGCUAACACCUACGGAUUUUUGACCAAGAAAUGGUCUCCACCAGAAAUCCAAGAAUGUGAUCUAUGACAAGGAAACAUUUGUGGGGUGAGGUGUAUGAGCCUCUGGUCGACGAUCAAUGGCCACACAACCCCCAUUUUGCCGAAAAUAGCCAUGAAUGACCAUUUUCAAUAAUACCGAAGGCUAACACGUACGAGUUUUUAACCAAGAAAUGGCUUCCACCAGAAAUCCAAGAAUGUAAUCUAUGGCAAGGAAACAUAUGUGGGGUGAGGUUUAUGAGCCUCUAGUCGAUGAUAAAUGGCCACACAACCCCCAUUUUUUAUGAAAAUAGCCAUGAGCGACCUUGAAAAUAGCCAUGAGCGACCAUUUUCAAUAAUACUAGAGGCUAACACCUACGGAUUUUAGACCAAGAAAUGGUCUCCACCAGAAAUCCAAGAAUGUGAUCUACGACAAGGAAACAUAUGUGGGGUGAGGUGUAUGAGCCUCUGGUCGACGAUCAAUGGCCACACAACCCCCAUUUUGCCGAAAAUAGCCAUGAAUGACCAUUUUCAAUAAUACCGAAGGCUAACACGUACGAGUUUUUAACCAAGAAAUGGCUUCCACCAGAAAUCCAAGAAUGUAAUCUAUGGCAAGGAAACAUAUGUGGGGUGAGGUUUAUGAGCCUCUAGUCGAUGAUAAAUGGCCACACAACCCCCAUUUUUUAUGAAAAUAGCCAUGAGCGACCUUGAAAAUAGCCAUGAGCGACCAUUUUCAAUAAUACUAGAGGCUAACACCUACGGAUUUUAGACCAAGAAAUGGUCUCCACCAGAAAUCCAAGAAUGUGAUCUAUGGCAAGGAAACAUAUGUGGGGUGAGGUGUAUGAGCGUCUGGUCGAUGAUCAAUGGACACACAACCCCCAUUUUUGUCGAAAAUAGCCAUGAACGACCAUUUUCAAUAAUACCGAAGGCUAACACCUACGGAUUUUUGACCAAGAAAUGGUCUCCACCAAUAAUCCAAGAAUGUGAUUUAUGGCAAAGAAACAUAUGUGGGGUGAGGUGUAUGAGCCUCUUGUCGACGAUCAAUGGCCACACAACCCUAAUUUUUGUCGAAAAUAGCCAUGAACGACCAUUUUCAAUGACACUGAAGGCUAACACCUACGGAUUUUUGACCAAGAAAUGGUCUCCACCAUAAAUCCAAGAAUGUGAUCUAUGGCAAGGAAACAUAUGUGUAGUGAGGUGUAUGAGCCUCUGGUCGAAGAUCAAUGGCCACACAACCCCCAUUUUUGUCGAAAAUAGCCAUGAAUGACCAUUUUCAAAAAUACCAAAGGCUAACACGUACGGAUUUUUGACCAAGAAAUGGUCUCCACCAGAAAUCCAAGAAUGUGAUCUAUGUCAAGGAAACAUAUGUGGGGUGAGGUGUACGAGCCUCUGGUCGAUGAUCAAUGGCCACACAACCCCCAUUUUGCCGAAAAUAGCCAUGAACGACCAUUUUCAAUAAUACCGAAGGCUAACACGUACGAGUUUUUAACCAAGAAAUGGUCUCCACCAGAAAUCCAAGAAUGUGAUCUAUGGCAAUGAAACAUAUGUGGGGUGAGGUUUAUGAGCCUCUAGUCGAUGAUAAAUGGCCACACAACCCCCAUUUUUUAUGAAAAUAGCCAUGAGCGACCUUCAAAAUAGCCAUGAGCGACCAUUUUCAAUAAUACUAGAGGCUAACACCUACGGAUUUUAGACCAAGAAAUGGUCUCCACCAGAAAUCCAAGAAUGUGAUCUAUGGCAAGGAAACAUAUGUGGGGUGAGGUGUAUGAGCGUCUGGUCGAUGAUCAAUGGCCACACAACCCCCAUUUUUGUCGAAAAUAGCCAUGAACGACCAUUUUCAAUAAUACCUAGGCUAACACCUACGGAUUUUUGACCAAGAAAUGGUCUCCACCAGAAAUCCAAGAAUGUGAUCUAUGGCAAGGAAACAUAUGUGGGGUGAGGUGUAUGAGCCUCUGGUCGACGAUCAAUGGCCACACAACCCUAAUUUUUGUCGAAAAUAGCCAUGAACGACCAUUUUCAAUGACACUGAAGGCUAACACCUACGGAUUUUUGACCAAGAAAUGGUCUCCACCAUAAAUCCAAGAAUGUGAUCUAUGGCAAGGAAACAUAUGUGUAGUGAGGUGUAUGAGCCUCUGGUCGAAGAUCAAUGGCCACACAACCCCCAUUUUUGUCGAAAAUAGCCAUGAAUGACCAUUUUCAAAAAUACCAAAGGCUAACACAUUCGAUUUUUGCCCAAGAAAUGGUCUCCACCAGAAAUCCAAGAAUGUGAUCUAUGGCAAGGAAACAUAUGUGGGGUGAGGUGUACGAGCCUCUGGUCGAUGAUCAAUGGCCACAGAACCCCCAUUUUGCCGAAAAUAGCCAUGAACGACCAUUUUCAAUAAUACCGAAGGCUAACACGUACGAGUUUUUGACCAAGAAAUGGUCUCCACCAAAAAUCCAAGAAUGUGAUCUAUGGCAAGGAAACAUAUGUGGGGUGAGAUUUAUGAGCCUCUAGUCGAUGAUAAAUGGCCACACAACCCCCAUUUUUUUAUGAAAAUAGCCAUGAGCGACCAUUUUCAAUAAUAUUAGAGGCUAAGACCUACGGAUUUUUGACCAAGAAAUGGUCUCCACCAGAAAUCCAAGAAUGUGAUCUAUGGCAAGGAAACAUAUGUGGGGUGAGGUGUAUGAGCCUCUGGUCGAUGAUCAAUGGCCACACAACCCCCAUUUUUGUCGAAAAUAGCCAUGAAUGACCAUUUACAAUAAUACCGAAGGCUAACACCUACGGAUUUUUUACCAAGAAAUGGUCUCCACCAGAAAUCCAAGAAUGUGAUCUAUGGCAAGGAAACAUAUGUGGGGUGAGGUGUAUGAGCCUCUGGUCGAUGAUCAAUGGCCACACAACCCCAUUUUUGUCAAAAUAGCCAUGAACGACCAUUUUCAAUAAUAUCGAAGGCUAACACCUACGGAUUUUUGACCAAGAAAUGGUCUCCACCAGAAAUCCAAGAAUGUGAUCUACGACAAGGAAACAUAUGUGGGGUGAGGUGUAUGAGCCUCUGGUCGACGAUCAAUGGCCACACAACCCCCAUUUUGCCGAAAAUAGCCAUGAAUGACCAUUUUCAAUAAUACCGAAGGCUAACACGUACGAGUUUUUAACCAAGAAAUGGUUUCCACCAGAAAUCCAAGAAUGUAAUCUAUGGCAAGGAAACAUAUGUGGGGUGAGGUUUAUGAGCCUCUAGUCGAUGAUAAAUGGCCACACAACCCCCAUUUUUUAUGAAAAUAGCCAUGAGCGACCUUGAAAAUAGCCAUGAGCGACCAUUUUCAAUAAUAUUAGAGGCUAAGACCUACGGAUUUUUGACCAAGAAAUGGUCUCCACCAGAAAUCCAAGAAUGUGAUCUAUGGCAAGGAAACAUAUGUGGGGUGAGGUGUAUGAGCCUCUGGUCGAUGAUCAAUGGCCACACAACCCCCAUUUUUGUCGAAAAUAGCCAUGAAUGACCAUUUACAAUAAUACCGAAGGCUAACACCUACGGAUUUUUGACCAAGAAAUGGUCUCCACCAGAAAUCCAAGAAUGUGAUCUAUGGCAAGGAAACAUAUGUGGGGUGAGGUGUAUGAGCCUCUGGUCGAUAAUCAAUGGCCACACAACCCCCAUUUUUGUCGAAAAUAGCCAUGAACGACCAUUUUCAAUAAUAUCGAAGGCUAACACCUAUGGAUUUUUGACCAAGAAAUGGUCUCCACCAGAAAUCCAAGAAUGUGAUCUACGACAAGGAAACAUAUGUGGGGUGAGGUGUAUGAGCCUCUGGUCGACGAU
rnacentral:lncRNA from 1 species